UCUUUUAAUUGGAGGCUCGUAUGAAUGGCUGGACGAGGUAUUUUCUGUCUCAACUCAGUUUAAUUAAAACUUUAUUUUUUAGUUAAAAAGCUAAAAUUUAAUUAGAGGACGAGAAGACCCUAUAGAUCUUUAUAAUCUAUUUAUAAUUUUUAAAAAGAAUAAUUAAAAUUUUAUAAAUAAAAUUAUUUUAUUGGGGUGAUAAUAAGAUUUAAUAAACUCUUAGUAUUUUUUAACAUUGAUUUAUGAAUUAUUGAUCCAGUUUUAUUGAUUAAAAGUUUAAGUUACCUUAGGGAUAACAGCGUAAUUUUUUUAAAGAGUUCUUAUCGACAAAAAAGAUUGC
rnacentral:rRNA from 1 species